rnacentral:lncRNA from 10 species
GUCUUUCAUUCUCUCUUUUCCUGCCGCCAUUGUUGUGAGAUGUGACUUGCUCCUUCUUGCUUUCCACCGUGAUUCUGAGGCCUCCCCAGUCAUGUGGAACUGGGACUGAUCGGAGUCAAACCAUAUGCUGUGGCUUUUGCUCCAUGGAAAUCUCAACUAUACUGCAAGAAUAAUUAUUCCUACUUAAUGAAGUUACAGAAGAGAAUGUGGUGCUGGACGGUACUGACUGCAUGGGGAGAGGCCAUACCACAGAAACCUCAAUCUGCCUGAGCCGUGACUCUGAGAGCUGGAGUACCACUGGACAAGGAUAUGGACAUUUUAAGACAUAGAAAAGAUGAAAGAAUUUAUCACCAGCAGACCUGAAUAAGAAAUGAUAACAGAAGUGUUCAGAAAGAAGGCCAAUGAGAACAGAUGAAAAUAUGAAUUCUUGCAAAG